rnacentral:lncRNA from 1 species
ACACUUGAAGAAAUUUAUUGUUUCGUUGAGCAUUAUUACAGAUCAGCAUUGUCAAGAACCAAUGGUGUUCCCUGAAGAAAGAAUACAACAUGGGACACAGGACUCUCAGAAAGUAAUUGGCACAUCUUUGAAGCAGCUGUCCAGUGGUUCUUGGAGCCUCACUGCUAAACCGUCAGUAAGAAAAAUACUGACUCUGCAAAACCAAAUACAUCUGGAAUCCGAAUCCUCUUGCAAAACUCUGAGCAGUGAUAUCCAACCUUUCUGGCACCCAGAGACCACCGGACCUCCUUUUCUACAAUCAAGCCAAACCAGUUCCUGUUGUUGGUGCCAAGAUAGACUACAGCUGGAAAUUCCCCAAAUGACCAACAGAUCACCUGGUGCCAACUGACUGACCACCAGGAAGAGCGACUAUUGACUUUGGGCUUAAAAGUCAUCUAAUCCACACUGUUUCUCACUCCCCUGACUACCCUCCUCUGCCCUGAGGUUUUUUUGCCUUUAUAAUCUCCUAUUCACUGACCCUGCCUGAGAGCAUGAUUUCUUUUUACACCAGGGGCUGCAUCUCCCCAAUCUGCAAAUUGUUUCUUAUGGAAAAUGAAGCUUUCUCUUUUCCUUCCACAGAUCUCAUGGUCUUUUGUUACAAGGAACCUGUCUCAAGACAGUCAUACUCUGUUAAUUCACUAUAACACUAAGAACCUCAAUGGAGUUCAGGUCUAUGAGAAUGAUUCAUUCAUAACAUCUAUCACCUUAAAAUUUAUUGACUAGGGCCUAAGGCACAACUGCCUUGCCCUGGGCUGAAUUCUACCCUAGGGCAGAGUUUUCGGUGGCCUCGGUGUACUCUUAGUAGUAUUUCUACUAAAAAGCCAACAUAGAGGGCAUAGACUCCAAGCCUUAGAGACUCAAACAAGAAACAACAUUUGACCAUUCCAUGCCCUCCAAAUCUAUUGGAUGCCACCAAACAAAGGCAAAAAAAAAAGCAGAUUUCAUAACACGAAAAACAAUAUAUUCUCUAUCUUUCAGCAUUGUGAGGGAAGGUGUCUGGUCUGGAAUCAUUUCUCAGUAUAAUGCACACCCCAAAGCAGCUUAACACAGCGGUAAGCCUAGAUGAAAGCAUUCAUGUCAAUUACAUGGAAAUGUUCUUUCACCAAGAUUGAGAAGCCACACUUGGGACAUUCAGUCCUCUAGACAAAAUGUAUUUGAAAUGGAAACUGAGAAAGCAAAGAGAAGCAUUUGUUCCUUUCCAGGUGAGAGGCAAGAGAAAGUCUUGUGUAAGAUAGCUGCUAG